CUCCGGCGCCGCGGAUGCUCCGGGGCAGCGGCGGCCGCGGCGCCGUGCGGGGCCAUGGCGGCCCCGGACAGCUGCGUGAAGGUGGCCGUGAGGAUCCGUCCACAGCUGCCCAAAGAGAAGAUAGAAGGAUGUCACAUCUGUACCUCGGUGACCCCUGGCGAGCCCCAGGUGCUGCUGGGCAAGGACAAGGCCUUCACCUACGACUUUGUCUUUGACCUGGACACGUGGCAGGAGAGGAUCUACACGACGUGCAUGGGGAAGCUCAUCGAGGGCUGCUUCGAGGGCUACAAUGCCACUGUGCUGGCCUACGGGCAGACUGGAGCAGGGAAGACCUACACCAUGGGCACUGGCUUCGACAUGAACAUCUCAGAGGAGGAGCAGGGCAUCAUCCCGCGGGCCAUCAGCCACCUCUUCAGUGGCAUCGAGGAGCGCAGGCGGGCGGCGCAGAGCCAGGGCGUGGCAGCACCCGAGUUCAAAGUCAGCGCCCAGUUCCUGGAGCUCUACAAUGAGGAGAUCCUGGACCUGUUUGACAGCACCCGCGACCCCGACGCACGCCACCGAAAAUCCAACAUCAAAAUCCACGAGGAUGCCAGUGGGAGCAUCUACACCACGGGGGUCACAUCACGCCUCAUCAGCUCACAGGAUGAGCUGAUCCAGUGCCUAAAACAAGGAGCUCUUUCCCGCACCACGGCCAGCACCCAGAUGAACGUGCAGAGCUCCAGAUCCCAUGCCAUCUUCACUAUUCACCUGUGCCAGACCAGAGUGUGUGCCCGCCCAGAGCUGGUGAAUGAGGAGGUGAGCAGCCUUCUGGAUGGAUCCCAACCCGCUGCUGAGUACGAGACCUUGACAGCCAAGUUUCACUUUGUGGACCUGGCUGGCUCGGAGAGGCUGAAGCGGACGGGUGCCACUGGCGAGAGGGCGAAGGAGGGGAUCUCCAUCAACUGUGGGCUGCUGGCCUUGGGGAAUGUCAUCAGUGCCCUUGGAGACCAGAGCAAGAAGGUCGUGCACGUGCCCUACCGUGACUCCAAGCUCACCCGCCUGCUGCAGGAUUCCCUCGGGGGCAACAGCCAAACCAUCAUGAUUGCCUGCGUGAGCCCCUCUGACCGGGAUUUCAUGGAGACCCUGAACACGCUCAAGUACGCCAACCGGGCUCGCAACAUCAAGAACAAGGUGGUGGUGAACCAGGACAAGACGAGCCAGCAGAUCAGCGCCCUGCGGGCCGAGAUCGCCCGGCUGCAGAUGGAGCUGAUGGAGUACAAGGCAGGCAAGCGGGUGAUCGGGGAGGAUGGCGCAGAGGGCUACAGCGACCUGUUCCGGGAGAACGCCAUGCUGCAGAAGGAGAACAGCGCCCUGCGCAUGCGCGUCAAGGCCAUGCAGGAGGCCAUCGACGCCAUCAACAGCAGGGUCACCUACCUCAUGAGCCAGGAGGCCAACCUGAUGCUGGCCAAAGCAGGUGACGGGAACGAAGCCAUCGGCACCCUCAUCCAGAACUACAUCCGGGAGAUCGAGGAGCUGAGGACAAAGCUCCUGGAGAGCGAGUCCAUGAACGAGUCCCUGCGCCGCAGCCUCUCGCGGGUCUCUGCCCGGCCCCCGUUCCCCGUGGGCUCCUCGCCGGGCGCCGGCCUGGCCGGGCUCUGCAGCCCCGCCGCUCCCCUGGACACAGAGGCCUCCGACGUGCUCCGGCGGGCCAAGCAGGACCUGGAGCGCCUGAAGAAGAAAGAGCGGCGGCAGCAGAGGAAGAGCCCAGAGAAGGAGGCGUUUAAGAAGCGGCAGAAGCUGCAGCAGGACAAUGGGGAGGAGACUGAUGAGAACGAGGGGGAAGAGGAGGAGGAAGAACAGGAUGAGAGUGGCUGUGAGGAAGAGGAUGGGCGCGAGGAUGAAGAUGAGGACUCGGGCAGUGAAGAGAGCCUGGUGGACUCAGACUCGGAUGCAGAGGAGAAGGCUGUGAAUUUCCAGGCCGACCUGGCGGAUCUGACCUGUGAGAUUGAGAUCAAGCAGAAGCUGAUUGAUGAGCUGGAGAACAGCCAGCGGCGUUUGCAGACCCUCAAGCACCAGUAUGAGGAGAAGCUGAUCCUACUGCAGAACAAGAUUCGGGACACGCAGCUGGAGCGGGACCGGGUCCUGCAAAACCUCAGCACCAUGGAGUGCUACACAGAGGAGAAAGCCAACAAGAUCAAGGCAGACUAUGAGAAGCGGCUGAAGGAGAUGAACCGGGACCUGCAGAAGCUGCAGGCAGCCCAGAAGGAGCACGCUCGCCUGCUCAAGAACCAGUCCCGCUACGAGCGGGAGCUGCGGAAGCUGCAGGCAGAAGUGGCCGAGAUGAAGAAGGCAAAGGUGGCGCUGAUGAAGCAGAUGAGGGAAGAGCAGCAGCGGCGCCGGCUGGCCGAGACCAAGAGGAACCGGGAGAUCGCGCAGCUCAAGAAGGAGCAGCGCCGGCAGGAGUUCCAGAUCAGGGCUCUGGAAUCUCAGAAGCGACAGCAGGAAAUAGUGCUGCGGAGGAAAACCCAGGAGGUGUCAGCACUGCGCCGUCUGGCCAAGCCCAUGUCAGACCGGGUGGCAGGCAGGACGAGCCAGAAGCCGGCCAUGAUGGACUCGGGCGCGGAGGUCUCGGCCAGCACCACCUCCUCCGAGCCCGAGUCUGGCGCUCGCUCCGUCUCCAGCAUUGUGCGCCAGUGGAACAGGAAAAUCAACAACUUUCUGGGAGACCCCUCAUCCUCCAUUAAUGGGGCUCGGCCUGCCAGGAAGAAGUUCCCCAAGAAGGGGACGAGCCAGACCUUCAGCAAAGCUGCUCGCCUCAAGUGGCAGUCCCUGGAGCGGCGCAUCUUCGACAUUGUCAUGCAGAGAAUGACCAUCGUCAACCUAGAGGCAGACAUGGAGAGGCUCAUCAAGAAACGUGAGGAGCUGUCACUGCUGCAGGAGGCGUUGCUGGGCAAGCGGGCAAAGCUGCAGGCAGAGAGCCCCAAGGAGCAGAAGGGUCUGCAAGAGCUGAACGAGGAGAUUGAGGUGCUGGGGGCCAACAUUGACUAUAUCAACGACAGCAUUUCAGACUGCCAGGCCACCAUCAUGCAGAUUGAGGAGACCAAGGAGGAGCUGGACUCCACGGACACCUCGGUGGUGAUCAGCUCCUGCUCCCUGGCCGAAGCCCGGCUGCUGCUGGACAACUUCCUGAAAGCCUCCAUCGACAAGGGGCUGCAGGUGGCCCAGAAGGAGGCCCAGAUCCGGCUGCUGGAGGGGCGCCUGCGGCAGACGGACGUGGCCAGCUCCUCGCAGAACCACGCCCUGCUGGACGCCCUGAGGGAGAAGGCUGAGUCACACCCUGAGCUGCAGGCACUGAUCCACAACGUCCAGCAAGAGAAUGGCUACACCAGCACAGAUGAGGAAGUUUCAGAGUUCAGCCUGGCCUCAGAUGGGAGCAUUUCCCAGUCUUUCACCAUGAAGGGCUCAGCAAGCCAGGAUGACUUCAAGUUCAAGGGAGAGCCCAAGCUUUCGGGGCAGAUGAAGGCAGUGUCAGCUGAGUGUCUGGGACCCACGCUGGACGUCUCCACCAAGAACAUCACCAAGUCCUUGGCAUCCCUCAUGGAGAUCAAGGAGGACGGGAUCGGCUUCUCCAUCCGGGACCCCUAUUACAAGGAGAAGGUGUCGCGCACCAUCAGCCUGCCCACGCGAGGCAGCACCUUUCCCAGGCAGUCCCGGGGCUCGGACACUUCGCCUCUGACGCGGCGGAAAUCCUAUGACCGUGGGCAGCCUGCCAGGCCUGCAGACAUUGGCUUCACACCACCCUCAUCCCCACCCACCCGUCCGCGCAACGACCGCAACGUCUUCUCCCGUCUCACGAGCACCCAGAGCCAGGGAUCUGCCUUGGACAAGUCUGAUGACAGCGAUUCCUCUGUCUCGGAGGUGCUGAGGGGCAUCAUCAACCCGGUGGGUGGCACCAAGAAUGCCCGGACAGCCCCUCUGCAGUGUGUCUCAGUGGCAGAGGGACACACCAAGCCUGUGCUCUGCCUGGAUGCCACCGAUGAGCUGCUCUUCACCGGCUCCAAAGACCGCAGCUGCAAAAUGUGGAACCUGGUGACAGGCCAGGAAAUCGCUUCUCUCAAGGGCCACCCAAACAACGUGGUUUCCAUCAAGUACUGCAGCCACACGGGGCUGGUGUUCACCGUGUCCACGUCGUACAUCAAGGUGUGGGACAUCCGCGACUCCGCCCGCUGCGUCCGCACCCUCACGUCGUCCGGCCAGGUGAUCUCUGGGGACGCGUGUGCCGGGACCAGCAGCCGCACGGUCACCAGCGGGCAGGGCGAGCACCAGAUCAACCAGAUCGCGCUCAACCCCUCGGGCACGGCGCUCUACGCGGCCGCCGGCAACGCCGUGCGCGUCUGGGAGCUCAGCAGGCUGCAGCCCGUGGGGAAGCUGAGUGGCCACAUCGGGCCCGUGAUGUGCCUGACAGUGAACCAGACGGCGAGCAACCACGACCUGGUGGUCACAGGCUCCAAAGAUCACUACGUCAAGGUGUUUGAGAUCACGGAGGGCACGGUGGGCAAUAUCGGCCCCACUCACAACUUCGAGCCCCCUCACUACGAUGGCAUCGAGUGCCUGGCCAUCCAGGGAGAUGUCCUCUUCAGUGGCUCCAGGGACAACGGCAUAAAGAAGUGGGAUCUGGAGCAGCAGGAACUUAUCCAGCAAAUCCCCAAUGCCCACAAAGACUGGGUCUGUGCCCUGGCCUUCAUCCCCGGCCGCCCCAUGGUGCUGAGCGCCUGCCGAGGAGGCGUCAUCAAAGUCUGGAACGUGGACACCUUCACCCCAGUCGGGGAGAUCAAGGGCCACGACAGCCCCAUCAACGCCAUCUGCACCAACUCCAAGCACAUCUUCACUGCCUCCAGCGACUGCCGGGUAAAGUUAUGGAAUUACGUGCCUGGGCUCACCCCUUGCCUUCCACGACGCGUCCUUGCCAUAAAGGGCCGUGCUACUAGUCUGCCUUGACCCUCCUGCUCUUUGACUCUUGCUCAUAUGCUCCUCUUCCGUCUCUCCUUCCCUUUUCUCUCCAUCUCUCCCUCCUCCCUCUGUCCCUCUCACUGUUGCUUUUGCCCCUCUCUCUCUUUCCCUCCCCCCGUUUUUUCUCUGGUCUGAGCUGCUUCUUCACGCGACUUGACAGUGAAGCUCUGGAGUGGGAGGAGGUUGCCUGCGGGGUCAAACUAGGAACUGCAGAAAGACUGGAAGCGUGGGGCAGGGUGAAGGUCAGGGCACCUCCCCCUGCUCUCAGGACUCAGUCAUCCACAGGAGCUCAGCCCAGGACAGGGAUUUCUUUGUGCCUGACCCAACGGGGUGGACAAUGCUGCGUCUGGUACUUCGAGCACUGUCAGCUCCUGUGAGGAAGCAGCUCUGUGGGGACCAGCAGCUCCACCUGCCCUCCUGCUGAGGUUUCUCCAUGGUUCUCCAGUGAACAGGAAAUGUUUCAUCUCUCCUCUCACCCAUCCUGCUGUAAGGACUUUGGGGGUCAGAGAUCCCUGGCUCCUCAGAGACUCCCAGCUCCCUCCUGGGCCCCCGUGGCUCUGCCGUGCUGUGCUGCUCCUGGGCUGGUUCCUGCAGGAGUCUUCUCCACCCCACGAGGACGUUUGGUGUCUGUUGGCCAGGACCACAACACAGAGAGUGCUUCUCUGGAGCCAUUACUUGUGAGACACCUCUGCUGUGGAGACUGCAGAAGGAUUUCCUGGUAUUCCCAGCCUUCUCUUUUCUUUGUGGACCUGUUCCCAGUGGUUGGAGGGGUGCACUCUGAGCUCCUUUGCCAUGUCCCAUCUCACGAGGCACAGCAACCUGGCAUGAUCUCCACUGGGCAACUUCCAGACAGACCUGCUGCAGUUCCCUUUGACACUGUCCAAACCCCAGUUGUAAACUCAACUGCCCCAUGGCUCUGGGCUCUUCCCCACAUGCCCAGCCUGCUCAGCCCUGCUCUGGACGUCGUGACCCCCAUCAGGGCUUUGUGCUGUGUUCCUGCAGCCAGUUAACCGCCUUGAGACGGAGAAAUGAAGCAAGAAUGGAGGUUGUUAUAGGGCAAAAAGGCCAAGGCUGGAUUUGUCACCCCACUGCUGUGGCUCUGUCUGUCCUUCCCUUAGGUUCUGCCCUCAGACCUCUGCCUGGACUGGAGCUUGCCCAGGCUGGGCCUGCUGGGCUGCAUGGAUCCAAGGCUGGAGAGGAGCCAGCAAGGCAAGGAGCAGCCAGAGUCCACUGUGGCAGGAGCAGAGGGGGAAGGGGGUUGCACACUGACCUCGCACAAGUCCCCUGACUCCCCCUGUGCUCGGAGGACAAUCCUGCAGUGGAUGAUCUUGCACAAUCUCAUCUCCUUGAGGGUCUGGGGGGCUCCAGCCAGGAGUGCUUCCCUAAGGACACACAUUCUGCAGGCCCUUUGUAUCUCCUGUUCAAGGGGGGCUGGUAAGGCCCUGGUCUCACACUGGAGCUUCCCUCCAUCUCUCCUAUGGCCCAUUGGAUCAUCCCCUGCUCCGGGGCCACCCAGGGUUCUUGUGGAAUGGCUGAGGAGACCCCAGGAUGGGUGUUCCUGCCUCACACACUCUCCUUUCCCCUUUGUCGCAGAAGAAGCAGCACAUGAACUCAAAUUUAAGGAUUUCUCCAUGUGAUCCCACCAGCACUGAACUGGGAUCGUGGAGGCCAGGGGCUCCAGGACAUGCCCCAUCAAGCACAGACCAUUUUCCCUCUGCUCUCUCCAAACACGGUGAUACCUUGACCUGCCCCAGGUCAUCUGCCACCAGCCCUUGUUCUAAGCAUUCUGGCUGGAGUGAGGGGACUGCUCUGCAUCUCUACAUCAUGAAAGACUGGAGUAUCUCUAUUGAUUUGGGGGGGGAACGGGGGGUUGCCUUUUUUUUGGGAAAAUUCCAUCCUGCUGGCUUGCCUUGUUGGAGGGUAAAUGGUACAUAUAUGUGUGUGUGUGUGUGUGUGUGACCCUGCCCAGGACAGUCCCUGCUCCCCGUGAAUGUGGCUGAGCCCUGCACAGCCAGGACUGGUGACUGCGUUGAGGAGAGGCUCCCAUCCAUCCUGUGAGACCUGUGGAACUGAGGGUGCAGCCAAAAGUGCACAGAGAGCUCAGCACCCAGUGGCACACAGCCAUGGGGGUCUGGGGGUCUGCAGGAGGUGUCUCUCCCCCAGGCCUGUCUUGGAGAGGCUUUCUGCCCUCAUUCCUCAGCUGGUUUCUGCUUCGCUUGGCUGGUAGGGCUCUGUGUGUGUGUGUCUCUGGUAGGUGUUUGGCUGUAGUCUGGUGUUGAAUCUGUCUGCUCUGAGAUCUCCAGUGCCUGCCCUGGAGCCUUCCCUGCUGCCAUGGCUGAAGGGGGCACCUAGGCUCAGACCUGCCUUGCCUUUGCCCCCAGUACCUUCCAGUGUGCAGGCUGAAAGUGCCUGUUCAGUGUUCCAGGGCUGAGUGGCCAGUCCUGAGCCUCUCUUGCUGCUGUGUCCAGCAGCCUCAAGGCUCUCACAGCCUUGGAGGGAGGGAGCUGGUGCUGGGGCAUUGGUGUCCUGAGGCAGGGGGUUUGAAGUGAGGAGAGUCCUGAUUUAGGAAUAGCAUUCUCCAAUUUAGUGCUCCCACUAAAACCCCCAUCCCCAGCAGGGUGGAGAGGGGAAUUGGAGGCACAGAAGAUGAAGAUCACAGGUUGAGAUAAGAGCAAUUUACUGGAAACAGCAGUGAGAUAAAAAACAAACAGUAAAGACAGCAGCAAUGUUAAUAACAGAAGUACAAAAGAGAAUGAUUCACAUGCAGAGUGCUCACCCUGACCUGCCUGCAGCCAUGUUCUACUGACCAGAGCAGACCUCUCCUCUGAGGAGAAGAGAGGAAUUGGAUCCUGCCCCUGAAUCUCCAUGGCAUCGGUACAUUGUGAGUAAAGCCUUACACUGUUGUGGAUCUGCUGUGCCAGCCUUGGCUCCACACAGCCCAGCAGAGCUCACUGCUGCUCUCCCCAGCUGGCUGGAGGCAGGGCCCUCUGCCUCUUGACAGGGUGCUCACUGCCUGCAGAUGUGAAGGUGCAUCCAGGAGGAGCAGAAGUGACAUUAGCCCUUUUAUUCUGUCUGAGCACAUGCCCACUGGAAACUGGGCUGGCAUUUGUCCUUGAAGAAUUUCCUGCAGUUGUUGUUUUUCCUCUCGACUCACACCCCCAUGCUUCUGGGGCAGAGGUGGGUUUUCCUUCCCACUUCCUCCUGUCCUCUCUGUGCUCAUGCAGGUAAAACCAUAGGUUGCCUUGGGGUGUGUCCCCUCCCUCUCAAGAGGGGGCCGGUUGCUCCCAGCAGCAGAGGCUCUGGUCUGUACUGGUGUGACAUGGGACAUUUCCUCCAACUGUGGACUGGAGGAUAAGUCCAGUCCUAAACUGGACCUGGGCUGGUCCACUUUAGACAGCCUUUUUACACAGUGGAGACACAGGUUGGUAGGAAGGAAAAACAAUGAUCUUCGUCAUCAGAGUUGGGGAGUCACCUUUAGCACUGUUUGCUGUCCUUCUGUUCAGAUCUCUGAAUAACCUCCCUAGAAAUCUCUUUACUCCAAAGAUUAUGUGGACUGCACUAAAGAGACAUGACAGAAAUAUGAUUUCCUUAACAUCCAAAGGGAAUCCAGAACUUCAAAAGCUGUUUUAUCAGACCUCAAGGGGGAAAAGUGGGUAAAAGUCUGGGGAAAAUCAUCCUCCCCUGUUCCCCCCAUGGGUUGGUCAUGAUUGUUAUUAAUGGACUCCCAAAGGAAGUGCCCCAGGUAAGGGUAGAAGAGCAACACUCCAGACUUUCCAAAUGACCCUCACUGCCCUUGGUGUUAUCGUGUCAUAAAGUAAUAGAGCAGUCCUGAUCCCCCUCCCUGCUCUGAGACAGAGACUGUGCUGGGAGCAGACAGAAAUAUUUCCAGGGUUUGGUACCCCCAUGGGCAGACCAGGCAAUGUUGUCACCAGGUGUAUUAGGUGCUCAGUACCUAAUACAAAAAAUGUUGAGAUCAAAUUUGCUUCGAACCCACUCUGGGCAGAUCUGUUCUUAUCUCAACUGUUCAAGCCCUACCUUGGAUGCCAAAAAAAAAAAUCCAAAAAAAACCUGUUGUGGUUUAGGACUGGUAUUUCCCAAUUUAGUGUUCCCACUACAACUGUGUGCUGCCACAACCCCCAUGUCCUUCCUUCCCUCUGCUGGGAUGGAGAGGAGAACUGGAGGCACAACAGGUAAAAAAAUGACAGGUGGAGAUAGGAACAAUUGACUGGAAACAGCAAUGAGAUAAGAAAAAUGAACAGCAACAAUUUUAAUAACAAAAAUGUACAAAGAGAGCAGAUCACAUGCAAGUGCUCACCAAAGUGCACGCUGCCCUGAUUGGAAGAGAUCCCUUCUCCCUGGAAGAGACUCCCUUUCCCCUGCCCAGCAAUGAUCUGAAAGAACUUCUGGGCUCUGGCCAUGUCCCCUCCUGGCUACUGCAAAAAUUAACUCUGUCCUGGCUGGAACCAGGCCAGGGGUGACUGUGAUCCCAUAGCUCUGUGUGUGUGUGUACGUGUGUGUGUAGGUCUUAGUACCUGUGUGGGUUGAUGUUUCUCAUGCAGAAGAGCAUUUUUUGGGUGUUGAUCUGGUUUAGCUACCUCACGGUGCAAGCUGGGUGCUGUCAUCAUUGGGUUUCCUGUUGGGGAUGGGGUGGGGAGUUUGUGGUGUAAGACUUUUUAUUUUUUUCUCUUAAUUAUUGUUACUGUUAUGGUUUUGACACUUGAAUUCACCCUGGGGACACGUGGCCUCGCUCCCACCUUGCUGCAUGUCUGAGCCACCCCCUGUGUUUCCCUCCCUGCUCCUCCUGGGCAGGGAGCAGGGCUGGAGUCCAUGCCCUGCCCUGCCAGCUCCCACCUUGCAGUGGGAUCCCCAGAGCAGCUGCAACACCGAGAUUUUGCUCCCAUUUCUCGUGGGAUUCCUGGUCUGAGGAUCUGUGGUGUUGCCAUUGGUGAUUGGGUUGGUUGGUUGGUUGGUUGUGGCUCCCUUCUGGUCCCGUGCAAGGGUGGAAGGGGGCUCUGAAAGGCUCAGCUCAGCCCAAAUUUCUCCCUCUGCUCUCACAGUCAGUCCCUGUGGAUGUGAUGAAGCUCUGGAGUGGGAGAUGUCUGUGCAGAGCUCGUUGCUGGGGUGGGCUGGUUCCAGCCCCCACUGCCCAGAGCCUGCUGCAGCUGCAGGGCAGCAGGGCCUGGGUGCUGUGGGAGCCUCUGCCCAAGCUGGGCAUGGCGUGUGAGGAGCCAGUUCUGGUGCGUGAUGGGUUUUUCACUCCCCAAAACGUAGUUGUGUCCAGAUUCAGUGCCAAGCACUGAACACAAACAAGGAUAGCCCUGGAGCCCCCCAGCUCAGGCUGGCAGCUGCCCUGGCACGGGGUCAGGGUGCUCUGAGCCACACAGCCAGUUUGGGGUGCAGGUCCUCCCAAACACUAAAGCACAAGGUGCCACAUGCAGGUGGGUCUGGCAAGGGUGGCCCCUUGGACCCUGGCCCUCCACAGCUCCAGUGGGACCAUGGGCAGAGGCUGGAGGAGGAGGAGGACUGGGAUGAAGGCUCCUUGCCUGUGGGUGAGAUGUUCCAGCCCUGUGCACUGUGCUGGCUGCUCCCUGCAGCUCAGGGGCCUGGCUGCACACCUGAAGUCCCCUCUGGUGGCCUCAGAGCCCCUCUGAGAGCCCCUCCAGGGCAGGGACACUUUGGAGCUGCCUUUGUACCACACACCUCACUUUUCUCUGCCCUUGGGCACCUCGAUUUGUGACAAGGGUGUGAUCAUACCUGCACUCCUGCCUCAGGUUGCUGGGUUAUGCUUCUUUCCCCAGGGCCUAACUCUUGCUCUGGGGGUCUCCUCACCCCCAGCACACAGCUCCAGCCUCUGUGGAGGGAGCAGGGCUGGACCAGAGUCAGGAGCCUAAAAGCACUGGACCCCCAAACCACUGUGAGCCCUCCUGAGCAGUGUCCCCUCCCUGUCACCUACAGCUCUGAUGACACAGGCUGGGCUGGCCAGCUGCGAGGAAUGGAAGCUCUGGGGUCCCAUCUUGUCCCCCCAGGUGUGUUGUUCCUCCCCACCACCUCUGAGCACAGCUGCUCUGGGGUCUCAGCUGCUGCCUCCUGCCUUGGUGCUGCAAAUCAGUGCCUGCUUCCCCUGGUGCUCUCCCAGUGCCCCUCACCAGUCCUUCCUGUGCCCAUCACCAGUCCUUCCUGUGCCCCUCACCAGCCCUUCCAGUGCCCCUCACCAGUCCUGCACAUGCCCCACACUGGAGGGAGUCCAGGUAUGAUCCCUGCCAAGCACAGGGUUCCAGUUUGCUUUCCACAGGCUCCCUGGAGCUUCACUGUCUCCUGCAGGCUGCAGGUCCUUCUGAGCCCCCCUCACCCUUCUGGGAAGGGACGAGGACCCCCAGCCCCUCCCGGUGCUGCAUGGUGCUCCAGCUGUCACUGGGACAGACCCAGCUCCCAGAAAAGCACAGCCCUGCACCUCCCUCCUGCCCCAGGGCUUGUCCCCUCACCCACCACAGCUCUGCCCUGGUUCCUACCAGCUGCUCCUCCUGGCCUGGGACCCCCAGGUGCAGCCCCUCACGAGGCUGGGGCAGCUGCAGCACUGUGUCCCUGCUCCAUCACUCCUUUCUGCACAAGGAGCACAACAGCAGAUGCCUUUUCACACUCGGAGCUUUUCCCAGAGGCCAGCUGCCCUGGAGGCUGGUGGUGUCUCUGUGGGGUUGUGCAGCCUGGCCCUGGCUGGGUUUGUCAGAGCAUGAGGGGUGUGUGUGUGUUUUCUACCUUGGUGUGUUCCUGUAAAUAGUGUAAGUUAUUGUGCUCUCCUGCUGUACGUUUUUCAAUGGCUGUUUGUUUCUUGCCUUUUUGUCUUUGCAAAUAAAAUGUUCUUGACAUGAA